AAGGAAGUUAGCUUCUUCCUAUGCCCUCAGGGGGCUGGGUUUGGGAACCCCCUCUCCAGACAAGGUCCUCUGGCCAGAGGAGGAGAGGGAGAGCCAGGAGGCCACUCUUUCCUGCUUCUUUUACUCUGGCUUUUGCUUUGUGCGAUCAGGGGAGGGACCCCACAUAUGGGGGUGAUUAGUGGCUUUGGGGUCUCUGGAGCCCCUGUUUUAAAGAGAAGAGCAAGCGGACAGGGUCAGACGAGGGGGCAGAGAUGGAUGAGGCGAUGGCCAGAGCCAGGGGUCCCGGCCAGUCGGGCCGCAGAGGUGCUGGGGGAGGACCUGCCGCCGGGUAUGGACAGAAGCAGGAAAACAUUUAUGGCCGCCUGCAAGAGAGAGGGGAGAGCAAGGCCGGUUUCCAGAAGGCCCAGGGAAAGUUCCCUUUCUGGGGGCUUUUCAAACAAACAAACAAACAAAAACAGCCACCACAACAGCAACAACAACAAAAAAGGAGAAGAAGAAGGGAGGGGUUGAGGCGCGCUGAAUUUUCCCUCGCGGUCUUGGAGCCUGAGGAUUUCCAUAAAAGAAGAGAAGACCACGCUCCCGGAUCCUUCCACAUCUGCCUCGUUUUCUCCAGCCGGUGACCCAUCUGGUCUGAAAGGGACGGAGAACUACACUUGCCACUGAGUCACUUCUUUAAGACCGGUGCACACACAAAGAUUCGCAAGAGAACCCGGGGCGUCCUUGCAUUUGAACACCACGCGAGGCGGAGGAUACUGAUAACCAGUCGGACAAAAUACUAAUAAAAUAAAAUGAAAUCGGGGGAAGCGCUGAGUGCAGGGCGAGCGGGGAGAGGCCGGAUCUUGGGUUCCAGGCGGCCCGGGGCGACGGGGGGCGCCGAGCGGGGCCGGGCUCCUGCUGGCGACCCUGCUCUGUCUCGGCGUCCCCAGCCCGGCCUGCGGCCCCCUUCUCUCCAGCCUCCGCGCCCCUCCUGCCCUCUCGGCUCGGCUCGGAUGCCUGGUCCGGCCUCCCUGGUGCGAGGAUUUGGGACCUAAGAAGGGGCAAAGUGACUCAAGCCAGACUCUCCAUUUUUCUCCCCUAGGCCUCUCCACUUGCCCAGGCGCUCAGCCACCCGGGGACCGACACAACAGGGGCUUCUGGGCCGCCCCCUACCCACUCCUGUAUGGUUUCCCCAAAGUCUAGCGACCUCCAACCCUCCUUGGUGGGGGGGGGGGGGCAAAUAUCAGUGGCCAGACUCCUCUGCACCCUGUCAUGGGUGACCUCACUUCAGGAAUAUCUUGAAGGAGAAGAAAAAGAAGGCCGGCUUAGAGCCGUAUUUACAUCUAGUUCUACUGAUCUGUUCACAUCUGGAGAGUUUAUUUAUAACCCCCACUAUAACUCUCCCUGUUUGGAGGCACUGAUGUCUAGAAAAUAUUGCUCUAUCUCUAACCAUACCUAAAUGUGCUGUGCUUGUAUUUACAGAUUUAUGCUCGAGGAAAAUAUAAUUAUUUCCAUUGUAUUCGUGCAUAUACAAUAGUUAUAGAAGUAGAUUUAUAUAUGAGAAAAUAUACGACUCUCUUACAGCCA